CCCAUCUCUACUAAAGAUACAAAAAUAAGCUGGGUGUGAUGUUGCGUGCCUGUAGUCCCAGCUACUCAGGAGGCUGAGGCAGGAGGAUCGUUUGAACUCGGGAGCUGGAGGUUGCAGUGAGCCGAGAUUGAGCCACAGCACUCCAGGCUGUGCAACAGUGUGAGACUCUGUCUCAAAAAAAAGUAAAACAGAUGAAACUAAUUUUAAUAACAUUUUAUUUAUUCGAACAGUAUAUUCAAAAUAUUAUUUCAACUUGUGAUUGAUAAAAUACUAAUGAGAUAUUUUAUAUUUUUUCUCCAGUACUGUCUUCAAAAUCCAGGGUAUAUUUUUCAGUUAGCAGCACAUUUCAAUUCAGACCAGCCGCAUUUCAAGUGCUCAGCAGCCACCUGCGGCUAGUGGCCACAGUAUUGGCCAGUGUAGCCCAAGGAUAUCUCAAAUUAUCUCAAAGCUAGAUCAGUGAUUAAAGGAUUCUCAGGCCAGGCGUGGUAGUUUUCAGGCCUGGUAUGGUGGUUUACGCCUGUAAUCCCUGCACUUUGGGAGGCCUAGGUGGGCGGAUGGCUUGAGCCCAGGAGUUUGAGACCAGCCUAGCCAACGUGGGGAGACCCUGUCUCUACCAAAGCACAAAAAUUAGCUGGGCAUGGUGAUGCCCACCUGUGGUCUCAAGUACUUUGUGUGAGGUGGGAGGAUCACUUGAGCCCGGGAGGUUGAGGCUGCAGUGAGCUGAGAUUGCACAACUGCACUCCAGCCUGGGUGACGGAAUGAGACCCUGUCUCAAAAAAAAAAAAGGAUUCUCCGAAAGGCUGGCGAUUGCUUUUUAAGCUAUAAGGAAGGCCUUUGAAGGGAAAUCAAGUAGGAAGAGGAUGAUAGCUGGCUCACAUGUCCUUGCCACAUGGGAGGUGAGAGAGCAGGCUACUCCUUACCACCCCCGCUUUCUCUGCCCUGCUACUGUCUUGCCCCUGUGCAAUUAGGCAAUGGGAGAGGAAUAGCAUAUAUAAAUUGGGCAAGUGCUAGGGGCUGGAGUGAUGGUUGGAGAAAGUAUCUGACGCUUGUUUUCUACUUUCUUUAGCUUGUGGGGUAUUUAACAAUUCUUUGUUCUUAGUUUUGAGUGCCGGCAACCAUUUCUGGGGUGAUAGGAAAAGUUCCAUGACAUCCGUAUUAGAGCAUUUGUUUCAUUAUAUUGUAAUUUUUUAUGUUUACUUUUGAAAAAGUUCAUUCUUUUCUCUUUUUAAUUCUUAUUCUUUUUUUUUUCUUUUCUUUUUGAGGCAGGGUCUUACUCUAUCACCCAGGCUGGAGUGCAGUGGCACAAUCUUGGCUCACUGCAACCUCUGCCUCCUGAGCUCGUGAUUCAUCCUCCUGAGUAGCUGGGACUACAGGUGUACACUACCAUGUGUGGCUAAAUUUUUUGUAUUUUUUGUAGAGAUGGGGUUUUGCCAUGUUGCCAGGCUGGUCUCGAACUCCUGCAAUUUGCUCUCCUUGGCCUCACAAAAUGCCGGGAUUACAGGCAUAAGCUACAGCACCCAGCCCUUAUGUUUACUUUUCAUUGACAGAAAGAGUGUCUUCAUCUCUGCAUCCCUAGUGCAACACAGCAUGAUAAAAAUUCAAUAAAUAUUUAUUGAAGAGUCUUGAUGUCUUUUGGGAAAGGAACUCUAUGGUUACCUUUACUCUAAGGUAAAGAAAUUUAGGUCCUGAACUUUAACCACCUUCUCCUCUUCUUUCUUCCCUCUUUCAUAAAUGAGCUCUUGGAAAAUUAAAAUGCCAGGAGGGUCCAGCAGAGAAUACCCAAGCCCACAUGUCCUGAUGGGAAGUGGGGGAUAAGUAGAGAGGGAAACACAGACCCUGUAGGCCAUCUCACUGCUGCUGGCCCAGGGGACCCUAACUCCUUUUGUUGACUCAUCAGAAGUAGAAUCCUCCUGAGGGUCUGUUUAAGAAGCACAGCUCUGGUAGAAAGGGUAGCUUUCCUAUGGGUACGGAGGGCUCUGCUACCCCAGGGCUAGCCACACUGGCCUGUGAAUCACUCUCAAAUGCUUAGGGUCACGGGCUUUCAGUGGAAUGAGCCCUCAUGUGCCACCAGGGGGCACCAAGGCCACAGAAAACCCUAUUCAGAAGGUUCUGGGGUGAGGGAAAGGAAUCCACGGGUUUGUGGAGCUGGCAGAGCAUGGGUGAGGACAGCAUUAUGCUAGGUUGGUGGCCUUGAAGUCAGAUGUAAAUUGGGAUCCUGGCUUGGCCACUGACUAUCCAUGGGAACUUUGAACCUCAGGGGGCUCAUUUGUGAUGUGGGGGUACCAUUAUCUGCCUCAUCAGGUUGCGGGGAGGAUUAUAUGAGAUACUUUAUGUAAGAGGGGCUGGUGCAUUGUGGAAGUCAACAAGUAAGUUUUGUUAAAUUUGAGUAAGAAGACCUGUUUGUUUCCUCAAGUUGCUUAUAAUCUAGGUGAGGACACAUCUGAGAGAAUAACUAAUAGUUCAGUGAAGGUAAGAGCCAAAUGAUUGGCACAGACCUCAAGUGGUCUGGCAUUUACAGGAGAGGGGGAUUGUGAAACAGGAAUUGAAAGAAAUUUAAAAAUGUGUAAGCAAAAACUCAGUUGUAUGUUUUAAAAAAACCAAUUCCCCCUGAGAAAGAGAAAGAGGUGGAGUCCUUUAAAAAUUAUCUGCCUGUUUUUCUGUCUGUGGCUAGUGAGCCUUAUCUCUCCCUUUCCCAGGCAUUGUGAAGACCCUGUUUCUCUAGCUGUGCAGCUGCAAGGUCACUAGGCAGAUAAACUCAAGCCGUAAAACAUGUUUUUCCUUGAAAAACGGGUGUUACUGAUUCUUACCUCAGAGAAGAGAAUGUCAUGGAGACAAAAUGACCUGCUUAGAGUUCUGCGCCCCCCAGCAUGGAGAGCAGAGUGCAAAGAUUUCUUCCGGACUCCCACAUUCUCCCUUGGAAUCCAAGAACAGUGGAGAUGGGGAUCUCACUCUGUUGCCUAGGCUGGUCUCAAACUCCUGGCUUCAAGCAAUCCUCCUGCUUUGGCCUCCCAAACUUCUGGGAUUACAGAUAUGAGCCACCACGGCUGGCUGACAGCUCCCAAGGAGGCAGAAGAAACUGGGGUAAUCACAAUGGUCAACAGCAGCAAAGGCAGCACUUUCUGAUUUACUUGACUGCUAUGGAUGCCACCUCUCUCCACGCCUCAGUUUAAUAUGUGACCUGAAUGCCUCUGAAGUUCACUCCUUCGGCCCCACUCCCUU